CUCAGACUCUCGGCAUCCAUGCGCAGAAAUGAAAAAUCAUUCACAAGUUAUUGAUAAUCUGCAACCCCCUCCACCUCCCAUCCUGUGUCUGUAAACCCUGAGUGAUCUGAACUCUGUGACAGAAGCUCCCACCAAAAGCACUUUGUGGGAGUGCUGUGUCACCUGCCCACACUGUUGCAGGCCUUGGACUUUGCUCAGACAGGUAGGAUCCCGAUGGCUGACUAGACACAGGCGGCGUGUGCCGCCUCCACAGAAAGGAACCAGAAUAGUAAGAAGAUUCUUAUAUUUUGAAAAGACCGUCAAGAAGAGAAUGCUGGGAUUCACCAGGGAAGUGAGGGAAUCAUAAAACUGGGUAAGGAUGUUAGAGUAGGUAGUCAGGUAAAGGAAAGGAGGAGGGAAGGGAAAUGUUAGUUAACUGGCUCAAAUGGCCCUUGAACAGACAGACUCGAGGAGAAGAAAAGAGCGAUGAAUUUCCCAGCAUUUCACAAGUACAAAGUGACCUUUCCCCAUUAGAUAUGAAUAAGAACAGAAUGAACACUGACCACUCAGCCUUCUUUGACUUCAACAGAUACAGACAGCAGCCACUCGGGGAUCGGCACAGCUGCUCCUUUCCAGCCUGCUGCUCUGUUUCGCGAGAGCGCACGUCUGCUUCUGCACAGGCCUUUCCCAAGUCUGACCAUUUUUAUACAAUAAACUUGCCACUAUUGCUCA